rnacentral:rRNA from 1 species
GAUGAACGCUGGCGGCGUGCCUAAUACAUGCCAGUCGAGCGAACAGACGAGGAGCUUGCUCCUCUGACGUUAGCGGCGGACGGGUGAGUAACACGUGGAUAACCUACCUAUAAGACUGGGAUAACUUCGGGAAACCGGAGCUAAUACCGGAUAAUAUAUUGAACCGCAUGGUUCAAUAGUGAAAGACGGUUUUGCUGUCACUUAUAGCUGGAUCCGCGCCGCAUUAGCUAGUUGGUAAGGUAACGGCUUACCAAGGCAACGAUGCGUAGCCGACCUGAGAGGGUGAUCGGCCACACUGGAACUGAGACACGGUCCAGACUCCUACGGGAGGCAGCAGUAGGGAAUCUUCCGCAAUGGGCGAAAGCUUGACGGAGCAACGCCGCGUGAGUGAUGAAGGUCUUCGGAUCGUAAAACUCUGUUAUUAGGGAAGAACAAAUGUGUAAGUAACUAUGCACGUCUUGACGGUACCUAAUCAGAAAGCCACGGCUAACUACGUG